GCUUGUAAACAAAACCAAUAAACGUAGGACUUUUUCACGGCAAUGUAUGGGAACCAGUCUAGAAUGCAAAGAAAAUUCCGCCAAGUAAACAAAGAAAGAGCUUUGGGAUGUUGUCGGUUGUAUACAUUAUGUGCGACGGUGACUGCAAGAAGCAAGGGAUGUGGAUCUAAUGCAUGCUGCUAAGGAUGGAAAGGUCUUGUGUUUAUUGGUCAUGCCUGAGACACCAGUCACAGUUGUACCUCAUUCCAUUUUAGAUGUUGUGAUGAAGAUUGUUGAAAGAGAUUAUCAACAUAAAACCAGUCCAUAUGAAUGUGCAAGUCAGGACUUGUACAGCACCUGAGUACCCAGAGCAGAUGACUGUUGAACUAAUUGGUGAACAAGAAAAAAUGUCAGAGAGGGGAAUCCAAUACAGUUGUCAAGAAUAUAUACUUUUAUCAACGAUAUGAUCAAGAAUUUGUAAACUUGUAGCGAUUUAGAAUAUAUUAUCUGUAAUAUAACUCUUCAUUACUUAAUUGUUCACACAUUAUCAUCUUAUUUGUAUAUUAAUUGCCCCCUCUUAUAUAACUCCCUGCGGAUCUAAAUGACCCGUGUAUUGACUCUUGAUCUUAAGGAUCAGGACCAGAUUUUGAGUAUAUCUAUAGUGCGACAGAAUUUUAGAAUAAGAUAGGAAGAUGGAAAUAUAGAAGAAUUAGUAGAUAUAAAUGUUAGAGAUAAAUAA